AGUGCAUGUGGUGGAUGCCUUGGCAGUCAGAGGCGAUGAAAGACGUGAUAGCCUGCGAAAAGCUCCGGGGAGGCGGCAAAUAUCCUUUGAUCCGGAGAUGUCUGAAUGGGGGAACCCACCUACUUUAAGGUAGGUAUUGCAACAUGAAUACAUAGUGUUGCAAGGCGAACGAGGGGAAGUGAAACAUCUCAGUACCCUUAGGAAAAGAAAUCAAUUGAGAUUCCCUCAGUAGCGGCGAGCGAACGGGGAUCAGCCCAUUAAGUUAUGUGUGUUUUAGUGGAACGCUCUGGGAAGUGCGAACGUAGAGGGUGAUAUUCCCGUACACGAAAGGGCACACAUAAUGAUGACGAGUAGGGCGAGGCACGUGAAACCUUGUCUGAAUAUGGGGGGACCAUCCUCCAAGGCUAAAUACUCCUGACUGACCGAUAGUGAACCAGUACCGUGAGGGAAAGGCGAAAAGAACCCCUGUGAGGGGAGUGAAAUAGAUCCUGAAACCGCAUGCAUACAAGCAGUGGGAGCACCUUCGUGGUGUGACUGCGUACCUUUUGUAUAAUGGGUCAGCGACUUAUAUUCAGUAGCAAGGUUAACCGUAUAGGGGAGCCGUAGAGAAAUCGAGUCUUAAUAGGGCGUUUAGUUGCUGGGUAUAGACCCGAAACCAGGCGAUCUAUCCAUGAGCAGGUUGAAGGUUGGGUAACACUAACUGGAGGACCGAACCCACUGUCGUUGAAAAGCCAGGGGAUGACUUGUGGAUAGGGGUGAAAGGCUAAUCAAGCCUGGUGAUAGCUGGUUCUCCCCGAAAGCUAUUUAGGUAGCGCCUCGGACGAAUACCAUAGGGGGUAGAGCACUGUUUCGGCUAGGGGGUCAUCCCGACUUACCAAACCGAUGCAAACUCCGAAUACCUAUGAGUACUAUCCGGGAGACAGACUGCGGGUGCUAACGUCCGUAGUCAAGAGGAAAACAAUCCAGACCGCCAGCUAAGGCCCCAAAAUCAUAGUUAAGUGGGAAACGAUGUGGGAAGGCAUAGACAGCUAGGAGGUUGGCUUAGAAGCAGCCACCCUUUAAAGAAAGCGUAAUAGCUCACUAGUCGAGUCGGCCUGCGCGGAAGAUGUAACGGGGCUAAAACUAUGUGCCGAAGCUGCGGNNUGCUGGAGGUAUCAGAAGUGCGAAUGCUGACGUGAGUAACGACAAAACGGGUGAAAAACCCGUUCGCCGAAAGACCAAGGGUUCCAGUCCAACGUUAAUCGGGGCUGGGUGAGUCGACCCCUAAGGCGAGGCCGAAAGGCGUAGUCGAUGGGAAAAUGGUUAAUAUUCCAUUACUUCUGUGUAAUGCGAUGAGAGGACGGAGAAGGCUAAAUCAGCCUGGCGUUGGUUGUCCAGGUGAAAGGAUGUAGGCAUGUAUCUUAGGCAAAUCCGGGGUACUCUAUGCUGAGAUCUGAUAGCAAGCUGUACUUGUACAGCGAAGUGGUUGAUGCCAUGCUUCCAGGAAAAGUCUCUAAGCUUCAGUUACACAGGAAUCGUACCCGAAACCGACACAGGUGGUCAGGUCGAGUAGACCAAGGCGCUUGAGAGAACUCUGCUGAAGGAACUAGGCAAAAUGGUACCGUAACUUCGGGAGAAGGUACGCUGUUGUUGGUGAUGGAACUCGCUUCCUGAGCUGACGACAGCCGCAGAAACCAGGCCGCUGCAACUGUUUAUUAAAAACAUAGCACUCUGCAAACACGAAAGUGGACGUAUAGGGUGUGAUGCCUGCCCGGUGCUGGAAGGUUAAUUGAUGGGGUUAGCGUAAGCGAAGCUCUUGAUCGAAGCCCCAGUAAACGGCGGCCGUAACUAUAACGGUCCUAAGGUAGCGAAAUUCCUUGUCGGGUAAGUUCCGACCUGCACGAAUGGCAUAAUGAUGGCGGCGCUGUCUCCAGCAGAGGCUCAGUGAAAUCGAAAUCGCUGUGAAGAUGCAGUGUACCCGCGGCUAGACGGAAAGACCCCGUGAACCUUUACUGCAGCUUGACACUGAACUUUGACCUUACUUGUGUAGGAUAGGUGGGAGGCUUUGAAGCUGGAACGCUAGUUCCAGUGGAGCCGUCCUUGAAAUACCACCCUGGUAAUGUUGAGGUUCUAACUCUGUCCCGUGAUCCGGGACGAGGACCGUGUCUGGUGGGUAGUUUGACUGGGGCGGUCUCCUCCUAAAGAGUAACGGAGGAGUACGAAGGUGCGCUCAGCGUGGUCGGAAAUCACGCGUAGAGUAUAAAGGCAAAAGCGCGCUUAACUGCGAGACCCACAAGUCGAGCAGGUACGAAAGUAGGUCUUAGUGAUCCGGUGGUUCUGUAUGGAAGGGCCAUCGCUCAACGGAUAAAAGGUACUCUGGGGAUAACAGGCUGAUACCGCCCAAGAGUUCAUAUCGACGGCGGUGUUUGGCACCUCGAUGUCGGCUCAUCUCAUCCUGGGGCUGAAGCAGGUCCCAAGGGUAUGGCUGUUCGCCAUUUAAAGAGGUACGCGAGCUGGGUUUAGAACGUCGUGAGACAGUUCGGUCCCUAUCUACCGUGGGCGCUGGAAAUUUGAGAGGAUCUGCUCCUAGUACGAGAGGACCAGAGUGGACGAACCUCUGGUGUACCGGUUGUGACGCCAGUCGCAUCGCCGGGUAGCUAUGUUCGGAAGGGAUAACCGCUGAAAGCAUCUAAGCGGGAAGCCUACCUCAAGAUAAGAUUUCCCUAGGACUUUAUGUCCUCUAAAGAGCCGUUCGAGACUAGGACGUUGAUAGGUUGGAUGUGGAAGCAUAGUGAUAUGUGAAGCUGACCAAUACUAAUUGCUCGUGAGGCUUGACU
rnacentral:rRNA from 1 species